rnacentral:rRNA from 1 species
AUUGAACGCUGGCGGCAGGCCUAACACAUGCAAGUCGAGCGGAGCGGCGGACGGGUGAGUAAUGCCUAGGCAUCUGCCUGGUAGUGGGGGAUACCGUCCGGAAACGGGCGCUAAUACCGCAUACUAUCAGAUGAGCCUAGGUUGGAUUAGCUAGUGGGUGGGGUAAAGGCCGACCAAGGCGUCGAUCCGUAACUGGUCUGAGAGGAUGAUCAGUCACACUGGAACUGAGACACGGUCCAGAAUCCUACGGGAGGCAGCAGGGGGGAAUAUUGGACAAGGGGCGAAAGCCUGGGCCAGCCAUGCCGCGUGUGUGAAGAAGGUCUUCGGAUUGGAAAGCACUUUAAGUGGGGAGGCGGUACCAACAGAAUAAGCACCGGCUAACUUCGUGCCAGCAGCCGCGGUAAGAC